AACGCACAUUGCGCCCUUUGGCAUUCCGAGGGGCAUGCCUGUUCGAGCGUCAUGAUCAAAUCUCAAGCCUCGCUUGGUAUUGGGUUUUCGUCUCUCCUGCCUGUGUGCAGGUAAGUGGCGUGCCUGAAAGUCACUAGCAGUGCCUCAAUAGACUCAAGCGAAGCAGACUGUACUCGCUUUGGAGGCCCUUUGUAGACACUGUUAACAAAAUAAUCAUGUUGGACCUCGGAUCAGGUAGGGAUACCCGCUGAACUUAA
rnacentral:misc_RNA from 1 species